rnacentral:rRNA from 1 species
AUUGAACGCUGGCGGCAGGCCUAACACAUGCAAGUCGAGCGGAUGAAGGGAGCUUGCUCCUGGAUUCAGCGGCGGACGGGUGAGUAAUGCCUAGGAAUCUGCCUGGUAGUGGGUGAUAACGUCCGGAAACGGGCGCUAAUACCGCAUACGUCCUGAGGGAGAAAGUGGGGGAUCUUCGGACCUCACGCUAUCAGAUGAGCCUAGGUGGGAUUAGCUAGUUGGUGGGGUAAAGGCCUACCUAGGCGACGAUCCGUAACUCGUCUGAGAGGAUGAUCAGUCACACUGGAACGGAGACACGGUCAAGACUCCUGAGGGAGGCAGCAGUGGGGAAUAGUGGACAAUGGGCGAAAGCCUGAUACAGCCAUGGCGAGUGUGUGAAGAAGGUCUUCGGAUUGUGAAGCACUUUAAGUUGGGAGGAAGGGCAGUAAGUUAAUACCUUGCUGUUUUGACGUUACCAACAGAAUAAGCACCGGCUAACUUCGUG